rnacentral:lncRNA from 1 species
ACUGCUAUAAAGAUUGCUAUAAGGUAAUAUGUCUAUGUGUAUUAGUCAGGGUAAUCUCAGUGGCUUAACACAAGACAAGGUGUUCACUUGGCAUCCUCCUACAUGGUUAUUCAGAAUUCUGGUUCCUUUAUCUCAUUGCACCGCUGUUCACUGGCUGCUCUGCAUUUAACCAGCAAAAAUGUUGAGAGUGAGGAAAAUCCUGCAGUACGUCUUGUGGGCAGGCUUGGAAACGGAAUUCAACACUUCCAUAAACAUUUCACUGGCCAGAACCUGAUCCCCCCGGUUCCAAUCUACAUGCAAGGGAAGCUGCUAACACAGUCCUGUUUGCCUGCAAGAGGAAAGGAGAUUGAAAAGAAAUUCAUGCUAAUGGUAUCCAAUGAAACAAGCUAAGAUGCAUGAAGAAAGAGUUUACGAUUUCCCUUUCUCCUUCCAGCCCCCACCCAGGCUGUGGUAGAGAUGACAACUUCUCAUCACUAUCUGUUUUUCUCGUCUUCCUGGUGCACAACUAGAAGACAUUUCUCAUUCCUCUUGCAUUUGGUGAGGCCACACUGUUAGUGACUACUCACCAAGGAAGUUUAGGAAAAGUGAGACUUCUCCAUCUUUUUGCCAAUUGCUGGAUGAAUGAAGACUUUCCGAAGGAAGGAAAGACCGCAAGAUAGGAGGAACACAGGUGUGCUGGUUUAUCAGUGUAUUGCCUCUCAGUGCCAAACCCACUCUUCCUUGCCCUGCUUUGUUACGCUGGAGCCAGAUCCUAUAAACAAACACGUCUCCCGUUCCAGGUGGCACAAGGUCAGGCUACUCAGCAGAAGGUCUUAGAGGGAGACUCCUAGAGGAAGGGGCUUCUCAUCCUAGUUCUGGGGCCAUUUUUCCUAUUGAUUCUAGCAGAAUGUGGCAGCAAACAGCAGCCCGGACUCCUAGAGGCACUCAUCCUCCAGCAAGUUUCCCUGGCUCUCCAGCGGGCAGCAUCUAAGUAUAUAUCCCACAGUGAUAUAACUGAUCUAAUAAAAUCCUAUGCUGUGGAGGCAAGUGAUAAAAUUAUUGCUGAAGAGUUCCCACUAGACUUGAAAAGGCAAUUAACCAGAUAUCACAGUUUGAUAGGCCCAGAUUAUAGACAGCCCUGAGCGUCAGGCUGUGCAUUCGAUUCUCCAGGUAGUGGACACUCAACAGCUGAGUGACCUGGUCAAAGCGUCACUUUAGAGAGAGACUGGCAAAAUGGAUGGCAGAGAUUGAAGUGUGAAUUUAAGGUAGUGAGCCAUUUAGAAGCUGCUUGGGAGUGAUCUUUUUUGGAUUUCAGAAAAUGAAGGAGACAGAGGGAGAGCUUCAGAAAUGUUGCACCAAAGUCAAUCCAGAACCUUGCCUUCCUUUGUAGUUGUUUCAUCACAUUUAAAUGCAGCAAGAAUGUCACCAUCAACUUUUCACAGGUUAACUUCAUCUCACAACUUCUAGCCCAAAUUUCAAGUUUGGUCCCAACCUUGCGUGAAUAUCUAAGAACAAGCUGAUUGAAUUAAAAAAG